rnacentral:rRNA from 1 species
UGUCGUCAGCUCGUGUUGUGAAAUGUUGGGUUAAGUCCCGCAACGAGCGCAACCCUUAUCCUUUGUUGCCAGCGGUCCGGCCGGGAACUCAAAGGAGACUGCCAGUGAUAAACUGGAGGAAGGUGGGGAUGACGUCAAGUCAUCAUGGCCCUUACGACCAGGGCUACACACGUGCUACAAUGGCGCAUACAAAGAGAAGCGACCUCGCGAGAGCAAGCGGACCUCAUAAAGUGCGUCGUAGUCCGGAUUGGAGUCUGCAACUCGACUCCAUGAAGUCGGAAUCGCUAGUAAUCGUGGAUCAGAAUGCCACGGUGAAUACGUUCCCGGGCCUUGUACACACCGCCCGUCACACCAUGGGAGUGGGUUGCAAAAGAAGUAGGUAGCUUAACCUUCGGGAGGGCGUUUACCACUUUGUGAUUCAUGACUGGGGUGAAGUCGUAACAAGGUAACCGUAGGGGAACCUGCGGUUGGAUCACCUCCUUACCUUAAAGAAGC